AGCUUUCUGAAUCCGUUCAGAGAUUUGAUCACACGCCAACCCAUUAGGGCUGAUCAGACUUCGAAGAUAAGUGAAGUU
rfam:Schistosoma mansoni, Puerto Rico, WGS project CABG01000000 data, contig: 0208